UAGUUGUUCUGGUGACUAGUGUCCCUUUAUUGUGUAUGCUCUCAGAACCAGUUCUCACUGCUUCUCCUCUAUUGCAAUAAAGACAUGAUCCAAUACUUUCACUAUUCCAGCCUGAUUGGUUCAUUGGAAAAGGCUUUUCAGAGGGCAUUGGCUAUUUGGCCAACAUCAUCUCAGAACUACUAAUACCUAAAUGCAAGCUGUGAUAGAC